AUAUGCCCAGUUUAUAUUUAUCCACAUAAUUUCAUUUUAUCAUACAAGAAAAGACAAAAAAUAUAUAUCAUUUUUAAACCUAAAGAAAAGCACAAAAAUUUUCAAAAUUAUUAUUUUGUACUACUGAUUAAAAACUUAUCAAGGGGGUCUGACAUGUAUAUAGAAGAUUUGAUAAAAAUAAAUGAAAACAUAAAAGAAACGAAUAUUGGAUUACCUUUAACUUGUGUUGAUAAAAAUAAAAUCAUAAAAAAUGUAAAAUGGAAUAAGCAGUUUUAUGGUGAUUAUAACAAGUAUGCUAACACAUCAACAUCUUGCUCGUCAGGAGCCGAAACAUAUUCUAGUUUUUCUGAUCUAAAUGAAGAAAUUUUAAAUAAAAAACAAAAUAAUAAAAUAAAAUAUUUUAAAAAAAAGAAUAAGAAAAAGGCAUUUAUAGCUAUGUAUAUGCAUAUAUAUGCUAAUAUAAUUAAACCCAAAAUAAACUUAAAAAAAAAAGAAACAUAUAAUAACUUUUUUUUAUUAAAUCCAAUGUAUUUAUAUAAAACUAGUUUUAUAAUACAAAAUAAAAAUGAUUUUUAUGUUAAUUAUUCUUUUGAAAGUUUAAAAAACUUGACCCAUAUUUCAAAUAAAAAUAAAACAGGUACUAUGGUAAAUGAUUCGUUGAAGUGUGUAUGUAAGGAAGAAGCUCAACAGAAUAGUUUGAUACUCCAAAACGGUGAUAACCAAUUAAACCAACUGAGUCAACUGAGUCAACUGAGUCAACUGAGUCAACUGAGUCAACUGAGUCAACUGAGCCAACUGAGCCAACUUGAAAAGACUCGUGUUUUAUCACACGAGAAACAAGUAAAGGAUAACAUGUAUGACGACAAAGAAAACGGUGACGUAAGAAAAGGUAGUGCACAACAUGUACAAGAAAAUGAUUACAUACGCUAUUACAACUAUUUUGAUUUAUUAAAAGCUAUUAAAUUAAGAGAGCAAACAGAAGAUGUAAAAAAAAAAGACGAAAUGAAAGAAAAGAAAAAAAUAGUAGGUAAAAACGAAAGUAAUAAAGAGGAUAAAGGCAAAUGCAAAAACACCAAAUCGGUGACAAAGGACGUCAUUUUAAUUGAUAAAAAAAAUAAUAAUGAAAAAGAAAUAUACUGUUGUGACGAAUCGUAUUAUAACUUAAAUCAAAAAAUAAUAAACUAUUUAUAUGAACAAGGAGAUAGUAACAAAAUUAGAGUGUAUGUUUUAGUACAAAAUAGACCAAGUAAAGAAACAGCCAAUAUGGAUAACUCAACUAAUUUAUCAGUUAUAACAAAGGUUGGAGAAAAUGAAAAAGAGACAAAUACUACUACAAGUGAUAAAUGUUAUAACAAAUAUCGAUAUAUUCGUAAAAAGGAGAUAAAUAAUCAUAGUUUAGGACCAUAUGAAACAAAAAAAAUUAAUUUAUAUUUUUUAAUAAACAAAUAUGGCUAUCACGAAGUAAAUUUAGAAAUAAUAUUUUAUAUGGGUAAAUAUAAAACCAAAAAAAAUAUACAGUUUAACAUUUUGACAAAAUGUAGAGGUAUCAAAUUAGAUAAGAAAAGUUAUAUAAUAGCAAAUAGCUAUGCACAUUACUGUUUUUGUAACACAUUUGUUAUAACAAAUUAUGAUAAGGACUUAAAAUUUAUUUAUCUUAAUAAUAUUGAUUAUAAAACAUAUGGGUUUAUAUCAUUAUAUUAUUUAUACUCGAAGGUGUUAAAACUGUUAGAAAACAAAAAAAACAAAAAAAAAAAUAAACACAUUUUAAAACAAAACGAUUUUUUAUCUAAUUUUAAAAAUAAAAUGGAUGAGUAUAUCGAUAAAGUAAUAGAUAUGGAUAGUGUCACAAAAGAAAAGUUAUAUUUUUAUUGUGACAUGUGUAAAUGUAAGUUUAAGUAUGAUUGUUGUGUAAGCUAUUUAACAAGAUUGUUAUUUGGUGAUGACAUUAGUGUUAAUAAAAAGACGAAUGAUAAAAACGGGAUUGUCCAAGAUAAUGACGCGUGUAAUAGUCGUACAUUUUUUUUUUCCUUCUUAUUCUUUUCACAUGUUGGUUCUAUUUCUCCACUUUUAAACGUAAAAAAAAAAUAAAAUAAAACUAUAGAGAAUAGUUAUUGCACAUAUGCGUUAUUACUACAUUUGGAUGAUGUAUACGUGUGUUUGGCAU
ensembl:lncRNA